CGCCUCUCAGGGUCGCACCUGUAGAGUACCCAGUCCUCUACCAGUCUCGACUACAGGAGGGAGAGUCAAGCAGAGGCCUGUCCAUUCCAUUUUUAGCUUGGGCAAUGGCUGGCAAGUGGAAGGCAAUCUGCUACAAGU